UCCUCUCUCCCUCGCCUCGUCUCCUACGAUUUCGCCUCUCAAUAACGAAUCCGGAUCCGUGGAGAUCGACCUUAGAGGCCACGCUGGGAGGCACCAGAAAGAGGAGAGGUCGCGACCGACUGCUGAUGAGGAGAGAGCGCAGCGCGGUGGAUGAAAGCAUGUGUCGCACGGACGCCUCAUGGACGUCGGCGCCGACUCCUGCUCCUUCGGCUCGCCUUCCUCGCUUCGUCGCCGCACAAUCGGUUCCUCCCUCUCGGCCUCCUCUUUCCCCACCCCUCUUUGCCGUACACGGCGGCAGAAGGUUCGCAUCUAUGAGUAGUUUCUUUGAUUCAUGUGGCUGUGUUUUCUUACUUCAUUUUGCGCCAAUCCCAUGCUCUUCGCCUAUUCGUUGUUACGCUGCAUCGUUGUAUGGCUGUGUAUGCAUCUUGUAUUGUUGGUCUGAUUUCCCCCCUUUUGCCUUCAAAGUGCUCUGCUUCAUGAUGCGUCUCCUCUACACUUCAGGUAUGCUUGUUCGUGCAUCUGGCAUGUAUAUACGCCAGCUUUCGUUCGUAUGCUCAUAAUUUGUUCACUGCAGUUUACUUUCAUUAUUAGAAUACAUCAAAUUUAUUAGUUUGACCGACUGUUGUCUAUUGUGCGUGUGCACAUGAUAUGAAUGGAACCAAUCCUGCGCUGAUCGUGUUGUUGCGGCUAAACGUUUCGCUGCUCGGCGGUGUAGUGUAGCGUAGUCUCUACUCGUACUGCUAUGUUCCAGUGUACAUGCAUACUUUCAUGAACUUGUGAGGAUCAUGGUAUUAAAUGUUUUCUGUAUGAGUAAUUCCUUUUUGCUUGUGGUGUCAUUUUUUGUGCUAAUUUAUUUUGGAUUUUCUUUGUUUCAUGGCUAUUUUCUUAUGAUCACAAGUGACUUCUGGCAAAAGAUUGGGAACAAAGCUAUGCAAGAAUUAUUAUUUUUGGUCCUGUGGAAGGUAUGAUUCUUGUGUAGAACCCCACUAGACUUCUUAAUUCUCAGGUCAAGAAUCAUCUUCCUUCAACAAGAUUCAAUUUGUAUGCAUUUCUUUAGUUCAUCAAUAUCCUGGUUAGGUCCAUGGCCAGCCUGCUCGGUUCAGGCUUCGAGUUUCACUCGGUUGCCGCCUAGUGGAAUUUCCUUUUACUUUCUUUUGCUUGAAAUCGAAAGCCGCCUUCUAGAGCAUAUCACUUGUUUGCCAAUUCGACCGCAGAGGAGACAAACGAGGGAUGUCGCCCCGCACGACGAGGAGGGGGGAGCAGGAUGUCGUCCACCGCCCGGCGCGGCCACCCGACGCUGGUGAAUAACGAUGGGGCCGCCUGGCGGGGACGGCGAGGUUGGUGUUGGCAACUGCUGCGAGAGGCUGUUAGAUACGUCAUCGGUGUCGUUCUUCUGCUCGAGGCAGCCAUCUUCCACGUGCUCCUCUGAAAGUUCCUCCUCACCACCACGGGUGGAUGCCGGGACCAAACUGGGACCAAGAAGGUUUUGUUGCAUUGUUAUCCUUUUCUAACUCGGCCACACUAGGUUCAGUUCACUUGUCAUCAAAGCCACCGUCAACCAGUGGAACUUCAAGAAACUUCCUCUCUAAUUGUUAGCUGGCCACUACAACGGUUCUUCAGUAUAUAGAGUUUCAUGUUGAGAUUUCGAUAAUCCCAGGACAUCAGAUCUCUUUGCCAUGCCUGAUGGCCUAAUGGAGUUGUGCAACAUAUGUAAGGAAGGUGAAGGUCUGAGUCUGAAGUAAAUGAUACUAAGAUUGUAAGAAUGAGGUGAUAUCAUCCAGAUGUAAAUUGAAUGUUUUAGUUACCAUGUACUGUAGUUUUGAUCUCUUAUUUUUGGCAAAUGAUUCUUGGUAGUCAGUCACAUAUCGUGUAGUCCAGAUUUUGUAAUUUUUGGUUGCAUGCUCAUACUAAUAUUUAUUCUUUCUGCUACCGCAUCUGGCAGUGUCAUAUGUGCAAUCUCAGAUGAAUACAUGAUAAGUUCUGCAAGUUUAUUUCAAGAUAUUUUUUUGUAAAAUUUAUUAUAGAAUAGCAUGAUAGAGUGCGUAAUGUAACAGAACAUGUUACUUAAAUACCUACCAUAUUGUCAUGGGUUUUAGUUGAUUAUUACAAUCUUUGGUGUUUUACAUGCUCAUUUAUGUUAUUUAUCAUUUUCAUGUACGAGCUUUAUGUAAUUGUGGUGAGGACUAGUGAUGGUUGUACUGUCGGUUAUCCUAUGGUUGAAACCAUUCAUAAGUAAUAUAUCACAUAUAUGGUGCCAUUACAAUGUCAAGGAGCAUUAUAUUUGAAAUCACAUACAUGUUUAUGGAUCAUUAUGUUCUAAAUUAUCAUUUUUACAUGGACAGAGGCGAACAACCUCAAGGGAAGUAAUCAUUUAAGGUUUUCCAUUUUUUGGUUUGCAACACAAUGCACUCAAGAAGGGUAAUCGCGAGUUUUUGAAUCCAAGGAGGUUGACCAUUGUCUUUUAUGGCGAGUUCUAUA